rnacentral:rRNA from 1 species
UGGGGAAUCUUGGACAAUGGGGGAAACCCUGAUCCAGCCAUUCCGCGUGUGCGAUGAAGGCCUUCGGGUUGUAAAGCACUUUUGGCGGGGAAGAAAUUGCGCGGGCUAAUACCCUGCGUGGAUGACGGUACCCGCAGAAUAAGCACCGGCUAACUACGUGCCAGCAGCCGCGGUAAUACGUAGGGUGCAAGCGUUAAUCGGAAUUACUGGGCGUAAAGGGUGCGCAGGCGGUUCGGAAAGAAAGAUGUGAAAUCCCAGGGCUUAACCUUGGAACUGCAUUUUGACUUCCGGGCUAGAGUGUGUCAGAGGGAGGUGGAAUUCCGCGUGUAGCAGUGAAAUGCGUAGAGAUGCGGAGGAACACCGAUGGCGAAGGCAGCCUCCUGGGACAACACUGACGCUCAGGCACGAAAGCGUGGGGAGCAAACAGGAUUAGAUACC